AAUGUUAUCACGGGAGACACACGGCGGGUGCUAACGUCCGUCGUGAAGAGGGAAACAACCCAGACCGCCAGCUAAGGUCCCAAAGUCAUGGUUAAGUGGGAAACGAUGUGGGAAGGCCCAGACAGCCAGGAUGUUGGCUUAGAAGCAGCCAUCAUUUAAAGAAAGCGUAAUAGCUCACUGGUCGAGUCGGCCUGCGCGGAAGAUGUAACGGGGCUAAACCAUGCACCGAAGCUGCGGCAGCGACGCUGAUGCGUUGUUGGGUAGGGGAGCGUUCUGUAAGCCUGCGAAGGUGACCUGUGAGGGUUGCUGGAGGUAUCAGAAGUGCGAAUGCUGACAUAAGUAACGAUAAAGCGGGUGAAAAGCCCGCUCGCCGGAAGACCAAGGGUUCCUGUCCAACGUUAAUCGGGGCAGGGUGAGUCGACCCCUAAGGCGAGGCCGAAAGGCGUAGUCGAUGGGAAACGGGUUAAUAUUCCCGUACUUGGUGUUACUGCGAAGGGGGGACGGAGAAGGCUAUGUUGGCCGGGCGACGGUUGUCCCGGUUUAAGCGUGUAGGUGUGUGUUCCAGGUAAAUCCGGUUCACUUUAACACUGAGGCGUGACGACGAGGCACUACGGUGCUGAAGCAACAAAUGCCCUGCUUCCAGGAAAAGCCUCUAAGCAUCAGGUAACAUCAAAUCGUACCCCAAACCGACACAGGUGGUCAGGUAGAGAAUACCAAGGCGCUUGAGAGAACUCGGGUGAAGGAACUAGGCAAAAUGGUGCCGUAACUUCGGGAGAAGGCACGCUGACACGUAGGUGAAGUGAUUUACUCAUGGAGCUGAAGUCAGUCGAAGAUACCAGCUGGCUGCAACUGUUUAUUAAAAACACAGCACUGUGCAAACACGAAAGUGGACGUAUACGGUGUGACGCCUGCCCGGUGCCGGAAGGUUAAUUGAUGGGGUCAGCGUAAGCGAAGCUCCUGAUCGAAGCCCCGGUAAACGGCGGCCGUAACUAUAACGGUCCUAAGGUAGCGAAAUUCCUUGUCGGGUAAGUUCCGACCUGCACGAAUGGCGUAAUGAUGGCCAGGCUGUCUCCACCCGAGACUCAGUGAAAUUGAACUCGCUGUGAAGAUGCAGUGUACCCGCGGCAAGACGGAAAGACCCCGUGAACCUUUACUAUAGCUUGACACUGAACAUUGAGCCUUGAUGUGUAGGAU
rnacentral:rRNA from 1 species